UACGAAGGGUGCAAGCGUUAAUCGGAAUUACUGGGCGUAAAGCGUGCGUAGGCGGUUUCUUAAGUCUGCUGUGAAAGCCCCGGGCUCAACCUGGGAAUGGCGGUGGAUACUGAGAAGCUGGAGUACGGUAGAGGAAGGUGGAAUUCCCGGUGUAGCGGUGAAAUGCGUAGAGAUCGGGAGGAACACCAGUGGCGAAGGCGGCGACCUGGGCCAAUAUUGACGCUGAGGUGCGAAAGCGUGGGGAGCAAACAGG
rnacentral:rRNA from 1 species